AACGAACGCUGGCGGCAUGCCUAACACAUGCAAGUCGAACGCUCCUGGGGCUUCGGUCCCUGGGGAGUGGCGCACGGGUGAGUAGCGCGUGGGAACCUGCCCUGUUGUGGGGGAUAACCGAGGGAAACUUCGGCUAAUACCGCAUGCGCCCGGGGGCGACCUCGGGGAAAGAUUUAUCGCAGCAGGAGGGGCCCGCGUCGGAUUAGCUAGUUGGUAGGGUAACGGCCUACCAAGGCGAUGAUCCGUAGCUGGUCUGAGAGGAUGAUCAGC
rnacentral:rRNA from 1 species